rnacentral:rRNA from 2 species
UGAAGAGUUUGAUCAUGGCUCAGAUUGAACGCUGGCGGCAGGCCUAACACAUGCAAGUCGAACGGUAACAGGAAGCAGCUUGCUGCUUCGCUGACGAGUGGCGGACGGGUGAGUAAUGUCUGGGAAACUGCCUGAUGGAGGGGGAUAACUACUGGAAACGGUGGCUAAUACCGCAUAACGUCGCAAGACCAAAGAGGGGGACCUUCGGGCCUCUUGCCAUCAGAUGUGCCCAGAUGGGAUUAGCUAGUUGGUGAGGUAACGGCUCACCAAGGCGACGAUCCCUAGCUGGUCUGAGAGGAUGACCAGCCACACUGGAACUGAGACACGGUCCAGACUCCUACGGGAGGCAGCAGUGGGGAAUAUUGCACAAUGGGCGCAAGCCUGAUGCAGCCAUGCCGCGUGUAUGAAGAAGGCCUUCGGGUUGUAAAGUACUUUCAGCGGGGAGGAAGGUGUUGUGGUUAAUAACCACAGCAAUUGACGUUACCCGCAGAAGAAGCACCGGCUAACUCCGUGCCAGCAGCCGCGGUAAUACGGAGGGUGCAAGCGUUAAUCGGAAUUACUGGGCGUAAAGCGCACGCAGGCGGUCUGUCAAGUCGGAUGUGAAAUCCCCGGGCUCAACCUGGGAACUGCAUUCGAAACUGGCAGGCUUGAGUCUUGUAGAGGGGGGUAGAAUUCCAGGUGUAGCGGUGAAAUGCGUAGAGAUCUGGAGGAAUACCGGUGGCGAAGGCGGCCCCCUGGACAAAGACUGACGCUCAGGUGCGAAAGCGUGGGGAGCAAACAGGAUUAGAUACCCUGGUAGUCCACGCCGUAAACGAUGUCUACUUGGAGGUUGUGCCCUUGAGGCGUGGCUUCCGGAGCUAACGCGUUAAGUAGACCGCCUGGGGAGUACGGCCGCAAGGUUAAAACUCAAAUGAAUUGACGGGGGCCCGCACAAGCGGUGGAGCAUGUGGUUUAAUUCGAUGCAACGCGAAGAACCUUACCUGGUCUUGACAUCCACAGAACUUUCCAGAGAUGGAUUGGUGCCUUCGGGAACUGUGAGACAGGUGCUGCAUGGCUGUCGUCAGCUCGUGUUGUGAAAUGUUGGGUUAAGUCCCGCAACGAGCGCAAC